UCUUACAGAUGAGCAGACAAAGUGGUUUCUUGAGAUAGAAUCUACUCCUGUUGAAGACGCUGUGAA
rnacentral:pre_miRNA from 1 species